UUGGCAGUCAGAGGCGAUGAAGGACGUGCUAAUCUGCGAUAAGCGUCGGUAAGGUGAUAUGAACCGUUAUAACCGGCGAUUUCCGAAUGGGGAAACCCAGUGUGUUUCGACACACUAUCAUUAACUGAAUCCAUAGGUUAAUGAGGCGAACCGGGGGAACUGAAACAUCUAAGUACCCCGAGGAAAAGAAAUCAACCGAGAUUCCCCCAGUAGCGGCGAGCGAACGGGGAGCAGCCCAGAGCCUGAAUCAGUGUGUGUGUUAGUGGAAGCGUCUGGAAAGGCGCGCGAUACAGGGUGACAGCCCCGUACACAAAAAUGCACAUACUGUGAGCUCGAUGAGUAGGGCGGGACACGUGGUAUCCUGUCUGAAUAUGGGGGGACCAUCCUCCAAGGCUAAAUACUCCUGACUGACCGAUAGUGAACCAGUACCGUGAGGGAAAGGCGAAAAGAACCCCGGCGAGGGGAGUGAAAAAGAACCUGAAACCGUGUACGUACAAGCAGUGGGAGCCUCUUAAUGGGGUGACUGCGUACCUUUUGUAUAAUGGGUCAGCGACUUAUAUUCUGUAGCAAGGUUAACCGAAUAGGGGAGCCGAAGGGAAACCGAGUCUUAACUGGGCGUUAAGUUGCAGGGUAUAGACCCGAAACCCGGUGAUCUAGCCAUGGGCAGGUUGAAGGUUGGGUAACACUAACUGGAGGACCGAACCGACUAAUGUUGAAAAAUUAGCGGAUGACUUGUGGCUGGGGGUGAAAGGCCAAUCAAACCGGGAGAUAGCUGGUUCUCCCCGAAAGCUAUUUAGGUAGCGCCUCGUGAAUUCAUCUCCGGGGGUAGAGCACUGUUUCGGCAAGGGGGUCAUCCCGACUUACCAACCCGAUGCAAACUGCGAAUACCGGAGAAUGUUAUCACGGGAGACACACGGCGGGUGCUAACGUCCGUCGUGAAGAGGGAAACAACCCAGACCGCCAGCUAAGGUCCCAAAGUCAUGGUUAAGUGGGAAACGAUGUGGGAAGGCCCAGACAGCCAGGAUGUUGGCUUAGAAGCAGCCAUCAUUUAAAGAAAGCGUAAUAGCUCACUGGUCGAGUCGGCCUGCGCGGAAGAUGUAACGGGGCUAAACCAUGCACCGAAGCUGCGGCAGCGACACUAUGUGUUGUUGGGUAGGGGAGCGUUCUGUAAGCCUGUGAAGGUGUACUGUGAGGUAUGCUGGAGGUAUCAGAAGUGCGAAUGCUGACAUAAGUAACGAUAAAGCGGGUGAAAAGCCCGCUCGCCGGAAGACCAAGGGUUCCUGUCCAACGUUAAUCGGGGCAGGGUGAGUCGACCCCUAAGGCGAGGCCGAAAGGCGUAGUCGAUGGGAAACAGGUUAAUAUUCCUGUACUUGGUGUUACUGCGAAGGGGGGACGGAGAAGGCUAUGUUGGCCGGGCGACGGUUGUCCCGGUUUAAGCGUGUAGGCUGGUUUUCCAGGCAAAUCCGGAAAAUCAAGGCUGAGGCGUGAUGACGAGGCACUACGGUGCUGAAGCAACAAAUGCCCUGCUUCCAGGAAAAGCCUCUAAGCAUCAGGUAACAUCAAAUCGUACCCCAAACCGACACAGGUGGUCAGGUAGAGAAUACCAAGGCGCUUGAGAGAACUCGGGUGAAGGAACUAGGCAAAAUGGUGCCGUAACUUCGGGAGAAGGCACGCUGAUAUGUAGGUGAAGUCCCUUGCGGAUGGAGCUGAAAUCAGUCGAAGAUACCAGCUGGCUGCAACUGUUUAUUAAAAACACAGCACUGUGCAAACACGAAAGUGGACGUAUACGGUGUGACGCCUGCCCGGUGCCGGAAGGUUAAUUGAUGGGGUUAGCGGUAACGCGAAGCUCUUGAUCGAAGCCCCGGUAAACGGCGGCCGUAACUAUAACGGUCCUAAGGUAGCGAAAUUCCUUGUCGGGUAAGUUCCGACCUGCACGAAUGGCGUAAUGAUGGCCAGGCUGUCUCCACCCGAGACUCAGUGAAAUUGAACUCGCUGUGAAGAUGCAGUGUACCCGCGGCAAGACGGAAAGACCCCGUGAACCUUUACUAUAGCUUGACACUGAACAUUGAGCCUUGAUGUGUAGGAUAGGUGGGAGGCUUUGAAGUGUGGACGCCAGUCUGCAUGGAGCCGGCCUUGAAAUACCACCCUUUAAUGUUUGAUGUUCUAACGUUGGCCCCUGAUCGGGGUUGCGGACAGUGUCUGGUGGGUAGUUUGACUGGGGCGGUCUCCUCCUAAAGAGUAACGGAGGAGCACGAAGGUUGGCUAAUCCUGGUCGGACAUCAGGAGGUUAGUGCAAUGGCAUAAGCCAGCUUGACUGCGAGCGUGACGGCGCGAGCAGGUGCGAAAGCAGGUCAUAGUGAUCCGGUGGUUCUGAAUGGAAGGGCCAUCGCUCAACGGAUAAAAGGUACUCCGGGGAUAACAGGCUGAUACCGCCCAAGAGUUCAUAUCGACGGCGGUGUUUGGCACCUCGAUGUCGGCUCAUCACAUCCUGGGGCUGAAGUAGGUCCCAAGGGUAUGGCUGUUCGCCAUUUAAAGUGGUACGCGAGCUGGGUUUAGAACGUCGUGAGACAGUUCGGUCCCUAUCUGCCGUGGGCGCUGGAGAACUGAGGGGGGCUGCUCCUAGUACGAGAGGACCGGAGUGGACGCAUCACUGGUGUUCGGGUUGUCAUGCCAAUGGCACUGCCCGGUAGCUAAAUGCGGAAGAGAUAAGUGCUGAAAGCAUCUAAGCACGAAACUUGCCCCGAGAUGAGUUCUCCCUGACUCCUUGAGAGUCCUGAAGGAACGUUGAAGACGACGACGUUGAUAGGCCGGGUGUGUAAGCGCAGCGAUGCGUUGAGCUAACCGGUACUAAUGAACCGUGAGGCUUAACCUUACAACGCCGAAGGUGUUU
rnacentral:rRNA from 1 species